GAAAAUCCCAAAAAAAAGCAGCAAAAAAAUAAGGUACAAGUUUUGAGCGGUCCUAGUGCUUGACAUCAGAAAGAGAUAGAGACUUUAAAAGAAAGAAGCUGGUUGAGCUCGGGCUCAAAACAAUGAUGGUCAGGACACGUUAGAUAUUAUAUAUAUACUACAGUUUAAUGCAGAUAAGCGGAGGCUGUAAAGCCACUUUCUAGACCAAAGUCUCAGCUGACACCCUACAGAACUGUGAUCAUUAUGCAACUGAUUAUUGUGACCCUUUUCUUCCAUUACCGUGUAACUCAUUCUGUUGAUAGUGCCUUCCCUCUCUGGCUCAUUUCUGUCAUUUGUGAGAUCUCGCCCAAGUGGAUUAUCCUAUACUCUUGAGUAGAAACUGUCCUUUGUGGUAUGGAUUUGGAGGUGAUUGCCUCAAAUUUCUAUCCUUUCAUAUCGAUCUGUCCCUCUGAUUUUUAUCCUAUCGCUUACCGCCUGCUAUGUGCCGUUUAACUGUGAAGUUAAUCAUAUAUACCAUCGUUAAUAUAUCUUUUGAAGGAGCCAUUGCUUUUCAGCAGUUACUGGCAUAUUAAUUGUUGAGUAGGUAGUAGUAAAAUACAAGGAGUCUGAAGCCGUUUGGCGGGCUGAUGCCUUACGAUGUCAGCAAAUGUUUCAUAGCUCUGUUUACUGUCCUGCACCUUGAUUCUUUGAUUCGAAUGAUCCAUCGACAAAAGGCUCUGGGAUUAUUCCUUUUGACCACGAAACUAAUCGUCUUGCCGGUGGCAUCAUCAGGGAUUCUCCAUCUGGAAAAGUAACGACUCUAACAAAGGUUAUGAAUUUGUUCGUCAGUAGAGUCGAAUCGAGUCUAUUCACUGAAGAAAGGAUGAAAUCUCAAUCAUCAAUGUUGCUAAUGCGAUGAAGAAGGAUGAAAUUGAGAGGGUGUGUGGCCAAAGCCAACUGUUACGAGAGGGUAUAGGAGAGGAGUUUUAAACAUGACGGAAUUCGUAAACUUCGUUUCUGUUUUGUUCUCGGAACUCAUUGCACAAUCCCGAC